rnacentral:rRNA from 1 species
UACGGAGGGAGCUAGCGUUGUUCGGAAUUACUGGGCGUAAAGCGCACGUAGGCGGCUUUGUAGGUUAGAGGUGAAAGCCCGGGGCUCAACUCCGGAACUGCCUUUAAGACUGCAUCGCUUGAAUCCAGGAGAGGUGAGUGGAACUGCGAGUGUAGAGGUGAAAUUCGUAGAUAUUCGCAAGAACACCAGCGGCGAAGGCGGCUCACUGGCCCGGUACUGACGCUGAGGUGCGAAAGCGUGGGGAGCAAACAGG